CAGUCACGUAAAUCAUUGUGGCGAGAAUUAAACGAUCCAACCUAAAUUAGUCGGUUUAUUGAUUUCUAAACAAUCAGUUGUAUAGAACUCGAUCUUUUUUUCGAAAUGAUUUUUUAUAAACUGGCAUCCUUGCUCAUCCUGCUCUCUGCCCUCGUCGCAGGACACAAGUAUGAUAAGGAUCAUGAUAUUGUGGAACGCACAACCAGACCGUCCUCAGAUGUUAUUCCAGUCCUCAAUCAGGAUCAAAUGAUAAUAUUGGCAUUGUUGAACACGGUAAACGAACUUCCUGGAGGAAACACUGGAAUACUUAACUCAGUGCGAGCUUAAAGCACUAAGUAACACUAAAUAUACUGUCUAUUUUUUUAUAAAUAAAUUCGAAUGAAAUAUUG